UUUUGUCUGAUGCGUGCAGUAGCUAUAUAGAAAAAAAAAUGGAACUUUAGUUCCUUAUGAAAUUCAACUAUUGGUUUUAAAAAGAGAAACAAAAAAAGAAAAAGAAAAAAGAGGAUGCUAUAAUAGUGCAGCAAGUCACGUGAGUUGUGACUUUGCUGUCACUCAUUAUGCAAAAUUGUGAUUUUUGUUGGGUAAAUUCCUUUGGCAGAUUCACGGUUUUUUUUUUGGUAAACUUUUUUUAAAAUUUUCUUCCUUCUUUUGUUUUCAAAAUUGUUUAUUAUUAGUUUUGUAAACUUUGGUUAAUUAUUUUUCGGGAUAUUAUAUUAAUUGACUAACUUUAGGUAAUAUUAUUUGUUGUAGACGGAAACUUCGUAGGAGGCGAAUUUUAGUUGAUAUUGCUAUAUCUGGGAAGCGUUUGAGGUUGGUGAAAGGGACUACGUUGCAGGAAUGAGUGAAUUUAUAGUUUUUAAGUUCACCUAGUUUAAUAAACACUACAGUACUGCCAUUUGAGAUUGUUUAGUUUUGUUUUGGUAUAAAGUAGACAACUUAGUUUGGUUUAUUUUGAUACUUUGGUUUGUGAGUAAAAUUUUUAUUUCUAAUAA